rnacentral:piRNA from 1 species
UUAAGCAACAUUGCUAAUGCUAACCCC